rnacentral:lncRNA from 1 species
AUAUACUGCAUUUCUUUGCCUUCUUGGUUUCACUUUUUUAAACAACUCUUCCUUAAAAAAUUAGAAUCCUGAUAAGAACAUGAUACAACAUUAUGUGCUGCUGUGAUUUAACUAAAUACAAUAACAAGUCUGAGCAGCAACAUAAAUAAGGACUCUAAUUUUACUUAAGCAAAAAUACCCAUGAGUAAAACUGAAAAUUUUAAGACUGAGGAAAGAACUGAGUUCAUGUUUUUUAUGAAAAAAAAGUUUAGUUUCCAGAUCUACUUAUGUUGCAUUAAUGAACAGUAGCUGCUCAGCAAAAUAAAUGCAGAAAUUCAUUAAAGUUGGAGGAAAAUAGCAAUAUCUUAGUUAAUUUUCUUUGGGAAGUGAUUCCUUCUGACUAUAGAUGUUGUGCAAUAGUUCUGCUACUCUGUGGUGCUCCAGAAAGCUGAAAAUCUGAGAUUUACCUGUGCUGAUUCACAUGACCUGUAGUCAGUAUUUAUCAACAAAGACCUGCCAGUUGUCCCUUGAUCUGGAGGAAACCCAAAGCAGUCAGAAGGAAAUGCUUCUCAAAGGUGUUCAGAGCUGACAGUGCUGCAGAUGUGCAUGAAGUGGUGCUUCCAGCCCCUGGCCAAUGCAAUCCCAGUGCCCAGGAAUCCCCAGGAAUCCCCAGUCUGCCCCUGAAUGGGAGCUUCAUCCCCUCAGUGAAACACUUCCCCAGGAUCAGAAUCAAGGUAAGACAGCCCUCAGGUUGCUGGCAGUGGAAGGUGCAGAUUUCAGGAAAAGACAGCAAAAGGUAGCAGACUGCCCAAAGAUCCUGCUGCCAGUGCGCUUGCAGAGGAACCUGGGAGCCUGCUUCUCUGGCCACCACAGAAGACAAAUGCCUCAGGUGGUAUAAACUGAUGGUUUUCCAUCCAAAAGGGUUCUGAGAAUGAGUCAAGCACUGCCUGACAGAAAGAUUCCUCUUUGAAGGCCGUUGUGUGCAGAAGCAGAUGGCUCGUUCCACUCCUGAAGUUUGCCUCGUGCAAGUGAGAAGGUCUAAAUAUGUCCUAAACUGCUGCUACUAUUAAACUUCACAGAUAAUCCUUCCUACUUCUUGAAGACACUUCUGUCAAAUUUAGAUUAACAUCUUUCCUCCAGUGUAGGUGAGGGCACUCCUGACUUGUACUGACAAGCAGAGCGUUUUACAUAACACACAGAACUCGGCGAUUUUGUGUUUGUUUUCCUAUCCAAGUGACUCUGUAUGACAAUGUGUGAAGUAUGUGCAGAUGGCAAGAACAGUUAUGUUAUCAAGUUUGUUUCCUCUGCCAGUGCCUGCUGAAAAAUAAUUCCAGCUCCCCAUCUAAAAGUAUAAAUAAACGAUAAAACAAAAUAUCUUUUCCUUCCA